rnacentral:rRNA from 1 species
GAUGAACGCUAGCGGCAGGCUUAAUACAUGCAAGUCGUGGGGCAGCAGGGCUGUAGCAAUACAGUUGCUGGCGACCGGCAAACGUGUGCGGAACACGUACGCAACUUACCCUGAACUGGUGGAUAGCCCGGGGAAACCCGGAUUAAUACCCCGUAAUAUAAUGGAGUGGCAUCACUUUAUUAUUUAAGCUCCUGCGGUUCGGGAUGGGCGUGCGUCUGAUUAGGUAGUUGGUUUAGGUAACGGCUCACCAAGCCUACGAUCAGUAACUGGUGUGAGAGCACGACAAGUCACACGGGAACUGAGACACGGGCCAGAAUCCUACGGGAGGAAGAAGUAAGGAAUAUUGGGAAAUGGAGGAAACUCUGACCCAGCCAUGCCGCGUGGAGGAGGAAGGCCGUCUGGGUUGUAAACUUCUUUUAUAGGGGACGAAACAUGUGUAUUCUUACGCAGUUGACGGUACCCUAGGAAUAAGCACCGGCUAACUCCGUG